rnacentral:rRNA from 1 species
UGGGGAAUAUUGGCCAAUGGGCGAACGCCUGAUCCAGCCAUGCCGCGUGUGUGAAGAAGGUCUUCGGAUUGUAAAGCACUUUAAGUUGGGAGGAAGGGCAGUUACCUAAUACGUGAUUGUUUUGACGUUACCGACAGAAUAAGCACCGGCUAACUCUGUGCCAGCAGCCGCGGUAAUACAGAGGGUGCAAGCGUUAAUCGGAAUUACUGGGCGUAAAGCGCGCGUAGGUGUUUUGUUAAGUUGGAUGUGAAAUCCCCGGGCUCAACCUGGGAACUGCAUUCAAAACUGACUGACUAGAGUAUGGUAGAGGGUGGUGUAAUUUCCUGUGUAGCGGUGAAAUGCGUAGAUAUAGGAAGGAACACCAGUGGCGAAGGCGACCACCUGGACUAAUACUGACACUGAGGUGCGAAAGCGUGGGGAGCAAACA